AUGACUGAAAAUAGCUCUUUGGAGGAAGCAAGGCCCGCCAUCAGAAGCAAGAUUGAUGCCAUGGAUGUUGAGAGUGUUUUUGGUCCAAUAGAAUUGGACGUGCCUCUACACAUGUGUGACCUUAGUGGUGCAGUACUCGAUGGAGUAUUCAGUGGAGACAUAGAUCAUGGUUUGGGAGACCUACAUAAUUUGACCGUUGAUGAUUAUAGCAUAUCAAGCUCGACUUCUGAUUCUCCCAUUAUUUCGCCACGUCCAGACUCAAACCUACCUCCAACGGCUCAUGAUUUAAACACUUUGUCUACUUAUACACAUGAGGAUGCUCCAGUUGUGGACGAGGAAACAUCCACUCAGUUGGCAAUGGCGUCCACAGAUGUUUCUUCUACCACUGAGCUUUUUGUAGAGACCAUUGACAGGAUGCUGACGAGGGCCAUCCAAGGCUUAGACGAUUCCACUAUGACAGAACCUCAACGCCGCGACAUUCUUCAAACAGUUUAUUUGAUGCUGCCAAGUGGGGUCGUUGUUCCCCGAAUUGCCACUGUUCGCACAGACUUGCAAAAGCUUAUUUCUUUGUCAAAUGAAAUGCAAGGAGCUCGCAAGGGAAGUGAUAAUCAUUCUGAGAAACAAGCUGACGUUGUUAAUGCAGCGGAGUCAGAAAGUGGAUUGCUUGAAGACACUUUGAAAGCUACGUCCAAGAAAAUUUAG
rnacentral:rRNA from 1 species